rnacentral:rRNA from 1 species
AUGGACCCAACUACAUCUCCUACGACACCUCUUGGACCCAUGACACAAGCACGUGCAAGAGCUCUCGAAACCGAGGUGACAUCACUCCUUUCAGAUUUCCACUUCGAUGCACAUGAGACAUGGCUACUACCUCAUACGGACACUCUGUGCAUACUCAGGUAUCUUGGAGAAGCUAAGGAGCGAGGAGAAGAAGAAGAGGAAGAAGAUGGACGUGAAGACGAAGAAGAAGAACUGCUACAAGUUCCCAGGCUCCGGACGACCGACGAACACCGGACGUCCGACGACCUCCAGGCUCCGGACGUCCGGGCCCCUCCGGACGACCGACGCUCCCACACCCGAGACGAAAUCUACGGACAUCCGAUGCCCAACGGAUGA